rnacentral:rRNA from 1 species
CAAGUGGUGGAGCAUGUGGUUUAAUUCGAUGAUACGCGAGGAACCUUACCUAGGCUAGAAUGCGCGUGACCGGCUCAAAGAUGAGCCUUUCCUUCGGGACACAAAGCAAGGUGCUGCAUGGCCGUCGUCAGCUCGUGCCGUGAGGUGUUGGGUUAAGUCCCGCAACGAGCGCAACCCCUAUGUUUAGUUGCCAGCAUGUAAUGAUGGGGACUCUAGACAGACUGCCUGCGCAAGCAGUGAGGAAGGCGGGGACGACGUCAGGUCAUCAUGGCCCUUACGCCUAGGGCGACACACGUGCUACAAUGGACGGUACAGCGGGUAGCUACGCAGCGAUGUGAUGCCAAUCUCGAAAAGCCGUUCUCAGUUCGGAUCGGAGUCUGCAACUCGACUCCGUGAAGCUGGAAUCACUAGUAAUCGCGCAUCACCCAUGGCGCGGUGAAUACGUUCCCGGGCUUUUGUACACACC